rnacentral:ncRNA from 1 species
GCCUUUUUAUUAGCUUAUAGUAAAUUUACACAUGCAAGCAUCCCCGCCCCAGUGAGAAUGCCCUCCAUAUCAAAAUUAUUGAUCAAAAGGAGCAGGUAUCAAGUUCACUAUAACAUAGUAGCUCAUAACACCUUGCUCAACCACACCCCCACGGGACACAGCAGUGAUUAAAUUUAAGUAAAUAAACGAAAGUUUGACUAAGUUAUACUAUUAAAGAAUUGGUAAAUUUCGUGCCAGCCACCGCGGUCAUACGAUUAAUUCUAGUUAAUAAAAUACGGCGUAAAGCGUGAUUAAGGAUUAACAUUAAAUAAGACUAAGCUUAGACUAAGCCGUAAAAAGCCCUAGUUAUAAUAAAAAUAAAACACGAAAGUAGUCUUAAUCCUCCUGAAUCCACGAUAGCUAAGACCCAAACUGGGAUUAGAUACCCCACUAUGCUUAGCCCUAAACACAAAUACUUAACCAACAAAACUAUUCGCCAGAGUACUACUAGCUACUGCUUAAAACUCAAAGGACUUGGCGGUGCUUUACAUCCCUCUAGAGGAGCCUGUUCUAUAAUCGAUAUACCCCGAUAAACCUCACCACCCUUUGCAAUGUUCAGCCUAUAUACCGCCAUCUUCAGCAAACCCUAACAAGGAAUUAAAGUAAGCACAAAAAUAUCACAUAAAAACGUUAGGUCAAGGUGUAGCCUAUAGGGUGGGAAGAAAUGGGCUACAUUUUCUAUAUAUACUAGAACAGUAAUUUAAACGAUAGCUUCCAUGAAAUCAUUAAGCCCAAGGUGGAUUUAGUAGUAAGCUAAGAAUAGAGUGCUUAGCUGAAUCGGGCAAUAAAGCACG